rnacentral:rRNA from 1 species
UACAGAGGGGGCAAGCGUUGUUCGGAAUUACUGGGCGUAAAGGGCGCGUAGGCGGCCUGCUAAGUCGAACGUGAAAUCCCCGAGCUCAACUCGGGAACUGCGUCCGAUACUGGCAGGCUUGAAUCCGGGAGAGGGAUGCGGAAUUCCAGGUGUAGCGGUGAAAUGCGUAGAUAUCUGGAGGAACACCGGUGGCGAAGGCGGCAUCCUGGACCGGCAUUGACGCUGAGGCGCGAAAGCUAGGGGAGCAAACAGG